CCCCAGUAACGGCGAGUGAAGCGGCAACAGCUCAAAUUUGAAAUCUGGCCCCUCGGGCCCGAGUUGUAAUUUGUAGAGGAUGCUUUUGGCAAGGUGCCGCCCGAGUUCCCUGGAACGGGACGCCGCAGAGGGUGAGAGCCCCGUCUGGCUGGCCACCGAGCCUCUGUAAAGCUCCUUCGACGAGUCGAGUAGUUUGGGAAUGCUGCUCAAAAUGGGAGGUAUAUGUCUUCUAAAGCUAAAUAUUGGCCAGAGACCGAUAGCGCACAAGUAGAGUGAUCGAAAGAUGAAAAGCACUUUGAAAAGAGGGUUAAACAGUACGUGAAAUUGUUGAAAGGGAAGCGCUCAUGACCAGACUUGGGCUUGGCGAAUCAUCCGGCGUUCUCGCCGGUGCACUUCGCCUCGCCCAGGCCAGCAUCAGUUCGCGCCGGGGGACAAAAGCUUCGGGAAUGUGGCUCCUCCGGGAGUGUUAUAGCCCGUUGCAUAAUACCCUGGUGCGGACUGAGGUUCGCGCAUCUGCAAGGAUGCUGGCGUAAUGGUCAUCAGCGACCCGUCUUGAAACACGGACCAAGGAGUCGUCUUCGUAUGCGAGUGUUCGGGUGUCAAACCCCUACGCGUAAUGAAAGUGAACGCAGGUGAGAGCUUCGGCGCAUCAUCGACCGAUCCUGAUGUUCUCGGAUGGAUUUGAGUAAGAGCAUACGGGGCCGGACCCGAAAGAAGGUGAACUAUGCCUGUAUAGGGUGAAGCCAGAGGAAACUCUGGUGGAGGCUCGCAGCGGUUCUGACGUGCAAAUCGAUCGUCAAAUAUGGGCAUGGGGGCGAAAGACUAAUCGAACCUUCUAGUAGCUGGUUUCCGCCGAAGUUUCCCUCAGGAUAGCAGUGUUGAACUCAGUUUUAUGAGGUAAAGCGAAUGAUUAGGGAACCGGGGGCGCUAUUUAGCCUUCAUCCAUUCUCAAACUUUAAAUAUGUAAGAAGCCCUUGUUACUUAAUUGAACGUGGGCAUUCGAAUGUAUCAACACUAGUGGGCCAUUUUUGGUAAGCAGAACUGGCGAUGCGGGAUGAACCGAACGCGAGGUUAAGGUGCCAGAGUAGACGCUCAUCAGACACCACAAAAGGUGUUAGUACAUCUUGACAGCAGGACGGUGGCCAUGGAAGUCGGAAUCCGCUAAGGACUGUGUAACAACUCACCUGCCGAAUGUACUAGCCCUGAAAAUGGAUGGCGCUCAAGCGUCUCACCCAUACCUCGCCCUCAGGGUAGAAACGAUGCCCUGAGGAGUAGGCGGACGGGAGGUCAGGACGAAGCCUAGGGCGUGAGCNCGGUUGACGGC
rnacentral:rRNA from 1 species